GAGAGGCCCAAACGUUAUUCGGAAUUACUGGGCUUAAAGAGUUCGUAGGCGGCAUGAAAAGUAGGGUGUGAAAGCCCUCGGCUCAACCGAGGAAUUGCGCUCUAAACUGUCGUGCCCGAGGAACCUAGAGGUGAGCAGAACAGAUGGUGGAGCGGUGAAAUGCGUUGAUAUCAUCUGGAAUACCGGAGGCGAAGGCGGCUCACUGGGGGUUUUCUGACGCUGAGGAACGAAAGCCAGGGUAGCGAACGGGAUUAGAUACCCCGGUAGUCCUGGCCGUAAACGAUGAGCACUAGGCCGGAGCCCUGCACAGGGUUUCGGCCGUAGCUAAAGUGUUAAGUGCUCCGCCUGGGGAGUAUGGUCGCAAGGCUG
rnacentral:rRNA from 1 species